GUGCUCGGAAUUUGAUCGGGAACCAAAUAUGGCAAGGAUUUAAAAGUCGUAGGACCAAAUCUGAAAAUUUUAAUAGUCGGGGACCAAAUGUGAAAAUAAUUCCAUACUCAUGGGACCAAAAGUGGAAAU